rnacentral:rRNA from 1 species
UACGAAGGGGGCUAGCGUUGUUCGGAAUUACUGGGCGUAAAGCGCGCGCAGGCGGCUAUCCAAGUCAGUGGUGAAAGCCCGGAGCUCAACUCCGGAACUGCCAUUGAAACUGUUUAGCUUGAGGAUGAGAGAGGUGAGUGGAAUUCCCAGUGUAGAGGUGAAAUUCGUAGAUAUUGGGAAGAACACCGGUGGCGAAGGCGGCUCACUGGCUCAUUUCUGACGCUCAUGCACGACAGCGUGGGGAUCAAACAGG